rnacentral:rRNA from 1 species
UACGUAGGGGGCAAGCGUUGUCCGGAAUCAUUGGGCGUAAAGAGCGUGUAGGCGGCCUGGUAAGUCCGCUGUGAAAGUCCAGGGCUCAACCCUGGAAUGCCGGUGGAAACUGUCAGGCUCGAGUCCGGAAGAGGCGAGUGGAAUUCCCGGUGUAGAGGUGAAAUUCGUAGAUAUCGGGAGGAACACCAGUGGCGAAGGCGGCGACCUGGGCCAAUACUGACGCUGAGGCGCGACAGCGUGGGGAGCAAACAGG